CCCACGUAUCAACGGACCUUACCGAUGAUGAACCGCUUACGCCGUCUCAUCUUCUCUAUGGAAGACGGAUUAAAACUUUACCGUAUUCAGGAACAAUUAAUUUCAACAGUGAGGAGAACGUACAAAACUUAACACAUUACACAGCAAAUAGACAAUCUAGUGUUCAAAAACGCAUUAUUCACGACUUCUGGAACAGAUGGCGACGAG
rnacentral:lncRNA from 1 species